rnacentral:miRNA from 1 species
CAGAGCCUGAGGUAUCUGAGGCUUGGGAAAAGCACUGUGACUGAGAUUCAGUGCUUGAUCCAUGUCCAGAGUCUUCAGUUUCUG